rnacentral:tRNA from 1 species
GGGGCCGUAGUCUAGCUUGGUAGGAUGCGAGGCUUGGUCCGGGGUUCAAAUCCCCGCGGCCCCA